UUGAAAGUAAGUACGAGGAAAAAGUAGUUUGUUGUAUUGAUUUGUUGAUGAUUACAGAUUUACAAAGGUAGCUAUUUAUAGCCCCGUACAGAUGACUUCUUAACCGACUAGAAUUCUAUCCCUAAUUCAAACAGAAAACGAAUAUUUACAAGCACGAUUCGUGCUAGGUUGGUUACUCUGCGCUUCAUGGGCUGAUCUCCCCCUUAUCCUUUUAUUCCUUUCCAAGCCCAUACAGGCCCAAUUAAACCAACCUCCUAAUCGGCCGAUUCCUUAUCGGCAAAAGGCAACCGAUUGGGACCCCGGCACGUUCGAUCCGAAGCGAGACAGAAGUCGUCGGCCGAUCUCGCACUGUAGCACCAUUCGACCGAUUCCCAACUGUGCUUCUCCGAUUCCCUCUCUUCUUGGCACCGAUUUACUAGUGACGAAAUCUGGAGUCAACACAUGCCCCCCAGUUUCGGAGUAAAACAUAGUCUUUUACUUCGAAAUUCUUUAUAACCUCCUCUCCGAAACGGGCGCAGUAAAAAUAUCCUUCCGUUUCGCGGUCUUCUAGCUGAUGAUUGCAAUCUUUUCGAAACGGGCGCCCACGACAGCCACUACUCCCGAAAAACUCGAAACGCCGGCGCGGUGAAAAUUCCGUUUUUACCCUCCUUCAGGCAUCCUUUAAAUAGCGCUUCACCCCGCACUUCAUCUUCAAGCUCACGUCUCUUUUUCCAAGCGCGCGCGCCCUCUUCUCUCUUCAGCAUCCUUCCCUUGCCGCCGAAGCCUUCUAGCGCCAUCCUCCUGUUACUUUUCCCCUUCUCUUCCAAUGGCGGCUCCUUCUGGCAGCUCUCCAGCGCGCGACGUUCCAGAAGUAGCGCCUCCAGCGGUAGUGGCGACGGCCGUUGCUCCAUCCACAGAAAAAGGAGCUUCACCGGAGAUCCCGAUGGCGAUCCCCAUCACGGCCUCAUCGUCCGCACCUGCACCGGCGACCACGCCGACCACACAGAACUUCAUCCCAGAGGUAAAUACCGAAUCUUUCUUCUAUCGGCAAUGUAUUUACUUUAGAUCUGUUUCUUACUUUUCCUACACCCCCCUUUCCUUUUUUAGGCAGUUAGGCAUCGUAUUACCAUCCAUCUCACGGGCAAUCCCGGCCUUAUUUGUCUCGGACCUAUGGGGAACCCAGAUCCAAUAGAGCUUAUCAAUUUGGAAACCCACAGGAUACCCUUCACACCGGCCGAUCUCGCACUGUAGCACCAUUCGACCGAUUCCCAACUGUGCUUCUCCGAUUCCCUCUCUUCUUGGCGUUGAUUUUACUAGUGACGAAAUAUAGCGUCAAUACAAGGAUAUACGACUAACUCAUGUGGUCGGUGUCCUAGCUCGUGAAACCUAGACAACAUCAUAUUCACCCCUCCUACAAGCUCGAGAUUCGGUCUCAGCAGGACGCUGGCCAGGCAAGGUUAGGUGCUUAGCGGCUACAUGACAGCUACAUGCUGUCAUGUCGUAUACACCAAGGGAGGGAUGGAGUUUCUCUUCAUUACAUAUAAUUAAGAACAUUGCAUUCAACGUUUCAUCAAACAGCUUGAUACAUCUUAAAUGUUUUUCCUACAGGUCCAAGUCAUUUACAAUGGUCUCAGCCACAUCAUGGUACUGCUCAACCACCUCAGGAAUCAAGUCUUCUUCGAAGUCGGCCGCGACUCCUAUCACAACACGUUCCAAGGGAAGUUUCAGGAAUUAUGAUGCCAACAAAGCAAAGGUGUUCUUGAUGCAUUCCAAUGCAGUAUCCUUCAGUAGCGCCUUGAGCCGACCUGGUGCAUCCUUGAGACGGUCCAGUAGCAGCAUUGGUGCAGAUGGGUCGGCGUCUGCUUGGACCAUGUCCAUCACAUAGCUGGCUGCCUUCCACAGCUGCUCCAUCUCUAACUCCAACCCUGCAAUUACACGCUGGUCAUUUUGGAGAUUACUUACAGCAGCCUCUAAGCAGCACUCGGUUUCCUUGCGUGCAUUGGCUUCGUGGGCCAACUUCUAUGAUACUGCAUACUCACGCUUGACUGCCAUGUCAUGCUCCUGCUCAAGACGUGUGUUGGAUUGUUCGCACUCCUUGAGGUGCUAUUUCAGCCUCUCCUCCCUCAGCAUGGCAUCUAUUUGUCCGACCAAGUCUACAUGAGCAUCAAGAUAUCCAAGAGAAAUAUGAUUUAACAAGUCGGCACAGCAUACCUCUCAAGUGCGAAGUGAAAACUUCCUUCUCAAAAGCAAAGUCAAUCCUGUCCUUCAACAAGUGAUUGGCCUACUUCAUGACAUCCUCCUUGGCCUUCUUAAGGUUGACCUCGAGUCACUCCACCUUAAGGCAGUAGUGGUCAGCUUGGUGGGCCGUAUCCGCCCACUUCUGCGCUUGUUCGGCCAGACCUUGCACAUAUCUUCACAUUUAGAAUUCGGCAACUAAAAGGGAUUUCUGCAACAGGUCUUCUAGGUUGGUCAGCAAACUUACACUCAAAAACUCGAUGAUCCUCGAGGACGACUGCUGCAGCUCGGCAAGAGCCUUGUGGUCCACCUCAACGCCUUCACCAACGCCUUGUGGCCCGGAGGGUCUUCUAGGCCGAGGCAAAUCUUCUUGAGUCGGGGGUCGGGCUGCAGCGUGUUGGCUCCUUACUAAUCUUUUGGGCCUUGGUUACCAUGGCGGUGGCCUUAGCUGAUAACUCCAGUGCUUCUGCGAGCUGAACUGCCUCAGUGUCGCAUCUGUAUGACGUCUCCACAUCACCGUAGAUGGAGAGGACUCCGUUUGGGCCCGGCAUCUUGAGGAAAAGGUAGGUGUGGUGCAGGAUUGCCAUAAAUCUUGCUAGCAUGGGCCGACCAAGGAUGGCAUGGUAGGAAGUCUUGAAAUUUGCCACCUCAAAUGUGAGAUGCUCCGUGCGGUAGUUGGCCUGUGUGCCAAAAGUAACCGGCAAAACAACUCGACUAAUGGGGUAAGAUCCUUUGAUAAGGACGAUGUCGUAGAAGGGUUCUUCACAAGGCUGGAGCCGCUCAAAGUCGAAGUCCAUGCACUUCAAAGUCUUAGUGAAGAUGAUGUUUAGGCCACUGCCACCAUCAAUUAGCACCUUGGGGACUAGGGCCCAAUCUAUAGUCAGGAAAACCACUAGUGGGUAGGACCCGGGAUGUGCGAUGUGGACCUAGUGAUCUUGCUUGGAGAAAGUUAUGGACUGUUCUGACCAGCGCAGAUACUAGACUGGCUAUACAGAGACAAAGUGCACCUCUCACUGGCGUAACUUCUGCUAGCGCUUGCAGCAAAAGGUGUUACGGCCACCCAUGAUGAUCUUGACUUGGUGCUCUGGUCGCUGGAAGUCUUUGUUCUAGUCGACACCGAGCUGUGGGGCGUCUUGAUGUGGCUGGUCGCCGUGCUCCUCUCUGUUCUAGUUGUCACGGUCGUCGUGUCUGCUGUUAUUGUGGUCUUCAUGGUUGCCGCGGUUGUCGCGAUGGUGGCCGUUGCGGUCGUCGUGGUGACGGUCAUCAUGGUCGUUGUGGCGACGGUCGUCGUCACGGCUACGGUAGUCGUGUUUGUUGUGAUCCCGAUGGUAGUGGUUGCGGCGGGGUCGCUUGUAUUCCACCGGGGUGCCGAGCUCUUUCUUUAGGACUGUGCAAUACCGAAAAGUAUGACGUGCGUCCUUAUGGAAGGGGCUUGGAGCACUGAGGGUUCUGUCAAAUUCUUCCCGGAUGAAAGUGGUCGGCCUAGCCGGAUCUCCUUCAGCAACAUAGACCUCUGGGGCCCUUUUUCGAAGUCGGGACUCCGAGCGUGCAUGUGGUUUGUCAUGGAUUGGCUGAUCGUAGUUGUCGACAGUGCAAUGCUUGAUGUUCUGGAACUAAACUUUUGCCGCCUCCUCUAUGUCUACUUGUCUAUUAACAACUUCCAUCAUCUGCCCGACCAUCUUGGGAGCAGCCUCGUACAACUUGCAGAACAUGGGGUGGUUCAUCAAGCCAGAGCGAAAAUACCAGAUGAUAUCACGAAAUUUGAUGCCAGCUAGUGUGUUGCGGUUCUCGAAGAAGCAGUUGGCAUAUUCUCGAAUAGUUUCACAUAUCCUUUGACAAGCUUGGCCCAGUUUCUCCCUAUUACCAGGUCGGCUAUACGUGGCCUUGCAAUUCUAGGUGAAAGCUCUAGCAAGCUGACCCCAACUAUCGAUGCUAUUCGGAGGGGGAUUCUCCAGCCACAGGAGUGGAGCAGGACCCAUCACCAUCGGGAAGUAGGCGACCAUUUGGUUGUAGGUGCCAUUCGCAGCUCUCACUGUGAUACCGUAUGUCUUGAGCUAGAUGGCAGUGUCGGAGCAACCAUCAUACUUUUCAUUAAUGGUCGGCUUGAAUGUGGCUGGCCAAUCAACAGCCCUAAGGUGUGGGGUGAAAGUAGCGAAGCCAUCGAUCAUCAUGUCAUCAUCGUAAUCAUCAUCGAUGUAGUGUUGGAUGGGUGGGGCCCUGUGGCGUCCGCUAUAAUUGUGCCUGGGCAGGUAGUAGGCAUCUUCGGGAGCGCCGUACAUGUGGUCGUAGUCGCACCUUGUCCGGUUGUAGGAGUCUUCAAGGGCGUAGUAUACACGAUCGCAGUUGGUGUGGCAGCGCAUCUCAUCUUCCUGGCGACAACGGUCCUCACGCUCCUCAUUGCGGUUUAGCCCAGGAGCGCCAUAGUCACGGUUGUGCUCGGCACGGCGAUGGAGCUUGGCCCCUUCACGCUCAUGGUGGUAGUUGUUGAGGUUGGCAUGGAUGUCACGAUGCUGGUGGAGGUCGCGCAGCUCAUCACGGAGAUCACAUUGCCAUUCUGGUCGACCUCGGUUGUCAUCAUUGCCUCACCUGCCAUGGAGGCGGUUGUCGUUGUUGUCGUACUGGCAUGCGUUGUUGACGUUGUUGUGGACAGGUGGAUUGACAUGAUUGUUGGCCGGUGGGUUGGCAUUGUUGUUGACAGGUGGGUUGGUGGGUAGGAUGCUGUUCUGCUCCACCUCCUCUUCACGGAUUGGCUCCAUCUGACACCGAAAAUGCAUUUGGUAGGGUUAAGUUUCCAGCGGAAAGCUCGCAGGCUUGAGAAGAUUUCCUCCAAAUCAAUGAUUAGGUCUUCCUUAUUUCUUGUUUUGAUGACUACAUCGUCCACGUAAGCUUCUAUAUUGUGAUGCAAUUGUUUUCAAAGCACAUCUGUAUGGCGCGUUGGUAAGUUGCGCCUGCGUUUUUUAACCCAAAUGACAUUGUUUUGUAGCAAAAAGCCCCAAAUGGAGUGAUGAAGGCUGUUUUGGUUUGAUCUUCUUCUUUGAGACUUAUCUGGUGGUAGCCUGAGUAACAGUCAAGAAAGCAUAGCAAGUCGCAUCCGGCAGUAGAGUCGACUACUUGGUCGAUCCUGGGUAGUCCGAAAGGGUCCUUUGGACAACGUUUGUUGAGAUCCAUGUAAUCGACACACAUUCUCCAUUCAUUGUUUUCUUGCGAACUAGUACAGGGUUGGCUAGCCAAUCAGGGUGAAAGACUUCUUUGAUGAACCCUGCUGCGAGUAGUUUGGCUAACUCUUUUUUUAUUGCUUCUCGUCUGUCUUGGGUGAACCUUCGGAGGCGUUGUUGUUUUGGGGUAGCCUUGGGAUCAACAUUUAGAGAAUGCUCAAUCAGUUCGUUGGGCACACCAGGCAUGUCAGCUGGUUUUCAGGUGAAGAUGUCGUGGUUAGCCCGAAGAAAACUGAUGAGCGCGGUUUUCUAUUUGGGAUCCGUCCUAUCCCAAUCAGUGCUGCCUUAGAAGGAUCGCCGGUCUUGAGAUCGACUGCUUUGAAGUCUGUCUCAUUUGUUGCCUUCACUUUUGCUAUCCCUGAAUUGUUUUCUAGGAUUUCAAGUUCUGUUGGAUGAAGCUUCUUUGAGGCUGAAAAAACUUGUUGCAUGGGACUGGGCCCUUGUGAAGUUGCUGCAAUUUCCACGGCUUCGGUGUCGCAUUCAUAAGAUCUUCUUAGGUCUCCUCGUAGUGUUAAUUCUCCCUUGGGUCCUAGCAUUUUGAGUACCAGGUAGACGUAGUGUGGAAUAGCCAUGAAUUUAGCCAGAGCUAGUCUCCUGAGUAUGGUGUGGUAAGAGGUUUCGAAGUCGGCGACUUCGAGUCUGAUGUACUCGGUUCGGUAAUGCUCCUUAGUGCUGAAAGUAACUGGUAGGAUGACUUGUCCUAGUGGUAUAGCUGCGUUGCCUGGUAUGAUUCCGUAAAAGGGAGAAUCUGUUGGAGUGAGCAUUUCCGUGACGUCGAGACACAUUUUUCUUAAUGUCUUGGCAAAAAUGACGUUGAGUCCACUUCUGCCAUCGAUGAGUACUUUUGUUAGUUUUGAGCCUACCACGACAGGAUCGAGUACUAGGGGAAAUCGGCCUGGCUCUAAAAAGUUUGUCCAUUGGUCCUUUCUGCUGAAGGUUAUGGGUACCUCGAACCAUUUUAGCGGUGUUGGAUCUAUCGGUUCGAUGGCCAUGAUUUUCCUGAGUACCAACUUGCUGGACCGCUUCGAAGCGAUACCCGGGAUUCCGCAAAAGAUGAUGUUGACUAUUUUGGAGGCAGUCUGGAAGUCUCCUGCUCCUUCUUCAUUCUUAUGGACUUUGUUUUUUCCUUUAUCUUUUUUCUGGAUGUACUCCUCGGGAGGUGGUGGUGCGGGUAAUUCUUGCAUUGCUCGGCGCAUGCUGUAGCAGUCUAUGGCAGAAUGUUUGCUGUUUGGGUGCCAUGGGCACUAUUUUUUGAGCAAUUCGGUGAAGCUAGGUCCUUCAUCAUGUUUGCAGGAUCCUUUCUUCCCUGAGUUGGUCAUGGAAGUAAUGGUGUUGUCAGGUUUCCAUUUGCGAUUUUGGUUACUCAAAAAGUUGUUCCGAGUAUCGCUUUGUUGUUUCCUGUCCUGUUCGUGGCUGCUAUUGUCGCACCCACGGCUGCGAUGGGAGCCGAAUUGUUCUUGCUCUUUAUCUUCUUCGUCUGCCCAUUGUUGUACCAUUAUUUUAAGGUCCUUGACAGUGCCUGGUCGUAGUCUACCAAAGUCCUGAUACAUUCAACGAUCAUAGAGGCCAUUUUGGAAACACUCGAUGACGUCUGUUUCUGAAAUGUCGACUAUUGUGGCCUUCUUUUCAAAGAAUCGCUGUAGGUAGUCGCGUAGUGUUUCGCCUUCUUUUUGUUUUACUCGGCUUGGAUCGAUCUUGUUGCCUGGUCUAUUCAUGGAGCCUACGUAGUUGUUGGUGAAUGCUUUUGUCAGAUCCUCCCAAGAGUCAAUUGUUUUGGGCUUGAGUGGCUCAAGCCAUGUUAGGGGUACGGGUUCCAUGCAUAUGGGAAAAUGGAUGACUUUGGUGUCAUUGUUGCCUCCGGCUGCUUGGACUACCAACAAGUAGCAUCAGAGCCAUUGAAUUGGGUCUUGCUUGCCAUCAUACUUGGUGAUUCUUGUUGGCUUCAAUUUUUCGCGUAGUCUUGUCCUCAUUACCUGAGCUGUGAAGGUGGGGAAGUGGUUGUAGUUGUCGACUUCUCAUUCUCGGCGACUAUUGAUUAUUUCGCGUAGAUUGCUGAAAUUUGACACUUUGUAAUUGUUCCUAAUGUGGCGAGGGCUUUUUGCUGAAUUGGUCUAGCUAGCCUCUCUGAGGUCUUUAUGUCAUGCUGGAACUUCAUGUUUACUCUGUCCUUGGCUAAGCUGCCUUGGUUGGUUGAUUACCUCAUUGUUUCUUUGUGUUUUGUGAAGGCCAUUGUCGAUUGCAGUGCCCCUGCUGCCCACUUGAUGAGCCGUGUUGUGAGGGAUAGAUGGGAUUGGUGAUUCUUUAUCGAGUAAUUUGUAUGCUUGCUAUGCGAGUUGCACAAUUAGCCCAUUGCCUCGCUGCACGAGUUGGGCCGUUACUUUAGUGUCUCUAUUUCGAGGUAUCAGAGUUAAUAUGAGAUUGAUUGAGGCAAUCGCUGCAAGUGGAGUGGUGUGUUCUUGAGCUUGUACUGCAUCAAAUGCUCUUUCAAGGUUUGUGAUGGGAAUGUUUGUAGCUAGUAAUUGUCGGCACUCUGCCCGAUUAAUGUUUCGUAUCCUUCUUUGGUUUCUUUGAUCGGGAGUUUCGUCUUGUGGAGCGUUAGCCGAAGACUCAUCUUCUGAAAUGUUGUCGAGCUGCGCUAUCCGUCGAGGUGUUCUCUGCUGGCUAGUACCCACAUUGUUAUUUUUAGUGAUGACAAAGACUUCUCUGUCCGGGUAGUAGCUUCCAGAGCUUGAUGUUGUGAUUUCUGUGGAGCUCUCCUCGCGGCUUGAUGUAAGCGAGGUGCCUUCUUGGUAUGGAAGGUUGUCUAUGUGAGCGACAAGGCGUGACUCGUAGUCGCGGGUAAGGAAAGAUGGCUUCAUUCCUAGCCAGUGAAUGAAUCUGCCUUGUGGUAUUGAGGUUAUUACCAAACCUUGGGUUGGCCCUGAUAAUGGGGUUUCUUGGAUAUAGUCCGAGUCAAAGUCAUGGUCCUCGUCUUCCCCGAGUUCGAGUUGAGUUCGGGUGAAGAGAUCUUGGUAGACUUCGGCUGUAUUACGAAGUCCAUAUGGGAAUCACUUUUGAGUUGAAGUCGACUUGUGAAGUGACUCGGGCUCCAGCUUGUGUCGACUAGUCCGAUCUGAGGCUGAGUCCGGAGUGUAGUCGAACUCGGGGUUGUUGACUUUGAGAAUUUGGCUUUUUUUGAUGAACUCCCUUGUUUUCGGCUGAGGAAACCUUUUGUCGUGGGGUUUCUUCUCCUGGAUGCUGACGAUCUAACGCUGAAACGAUCCAGUGCCAUCGGCGAUGCAGAGCCAGGAUCCAAAAACGAAGGUUGCGCCUGCCUCGAAGGUGAAGACAGGCUUGAUAACGAUCGAUGCCAUUGAACUCGCGUAGGGAAACUCGGCGACUACCCCUACCUGGCGUGCUAGCUGUCGGUGUUUUAGACCAGUAACCCACCUAGAGGGUACCCUAGGAGGUCUUUUGUGCAGUAGGUGUUGGAGGUAUGCCCUAGAGGCAAUCAUAGAGAUGAUGAUAUUCCAUUUGUAUCCAUGAUUUAUAUUGUGUUCCUUGAAUAUCCAUUAAAGGCUACUUGAAUUGAUUUGCAAUUAUCUGAAUUGUAUGUGAAACUCUUUACUUGUAUGGUUAUUCUAAAGUUGUCCCUAGUCGGAGUUCAUGUGAGGAUACACAUGAAUAUUAGACUAGCACAUAUAUUAGUUGAUGACUAUGUUUCAGGAGUCAUGGAUAUGGAGAUGUUGAACUAAUAAUGUGGGCACAUGUGGAGACAUGUGCUAGGACUGACCCAACACGAGAAGUAGUUCUCUCUUUACACAACAUAUACACUUUGUCCUUAGACUUGAGAUUGUCGCAUGUACUCAAGAUGUGGAUCGACUUACUUAGGGGCUAUCCAACGCUACGCCGUAACAGGGUAGUCAUAAAGGUACCUUUCAGGUUUGUCAAGAAGCAUGCUAUGAGACAUGGUCAAUCAAGAUGGGAUUUGCCCCUCUCUGAUUGAGAGUGAUAUCUCUCGGCCCCUCGAGUGAUCGGAUCCGAAAAUGCAUGGCCAUGCUACGUACGGUUAAGAGUUAACCUACAAAGGGAUUCCGAAUCAUAGGAUCGAGAAAGAGCAGUCGGCUUGAAGCUAGACCAAAUAUCGUGAGGCAAAGGGAAUAACACAUAUAUAAUGUUGUGAUGGUUCGUCUGAUAUGAUCUUCGUGUGCGUAUAGGAGUUGGCACGUCUUGCUAGAGGCCGCUACCGACUAUUGGGCCGAGUAGGAGUACUCGAGCCAUGUCUAUACGUAUCCGAACCCAUAGGGUCACGCACUUAAGGGGCUGGAAGCCCAAUUCAGAUGUGAUCCGAGUUGGAUUAGGUUUAGAAGUACUAAUGGGCCUCGAACCCAGAGGCCCGUUAGGAACCUCUAUAAAUAGAGGGGUAGGGGCGCCCUAGGGUUUACACCUUUUUGGCGAAACACAUCUGUUGCACCUCCCAUGCCCUCGCUUGCGAUGCUUCCGACCUAGCAGUCCGGCUUGCGAUGCUUCCUCCCUGCACGUGUGGAUACCUUGGAGGUGUUGCGCCUGUAGCACUUGGACGAGCCGCUGACGAGCCACGAUGAGCCGCCAACGAGCCACGAUGAGCCGACGACGAGCCGCGGCACGAGGGCGAUCUUGCUGCACGUGGACGAGCUGCUGAGGAGCUGCUGGACGUUGAUGUGAUCGACUACAUACGACUACAUUGAUCAACUUCGCUGCAUCAACGCGAAUCUACAUCUUCCGCAUCAGUGCGUCGAGUGGUAAUCCCGUGAUCCUUAUACGGCAAUUUUUCUAGUUUACGCGGUAGAAAUUUUUGAUUUGCGCUAGUGUAACCUACCUCAUAUCCCAAUAGUGGUAUCAGAGCUGUAGUUGUUUAAGUUUUAGAUUCAGGAUAUGUGCAUAUGGAGAUAUGUGAGUUUUCAGUUUGAUCUAUGUCCUGGUUUCGUGUUCUUGCUGCAAUGGUUGUGUAACGACGUACUCCUACCGGUCGGGUUUCCACCAUCGGAGUUAAGUGAUACAUGUAAUGCUAGUUGUAGCGAGCGAAGAUCAAUGUGAAUGGUCAAAUCGAGAUCCAGGUUCAUACCCCAAGCACAUGAGAUGUGCAAUAGUAAAUUGAAUCUACUACCAGGUCGGGAUUUUGCCGUAUGCGAGUGCUUCGGUAAAUCAGCCGUAACUUUUUGGUACGAUCUCGGAUCGGGGCGAAUUUUAUAUGAAAAUUGAUCUACAGAAAAAGUUACACAUGAACAUCAACCACUUCGCCAUUUUCGACAAAAUUAGAGUUCCCAAAUUCAUCUUGGAAGAUGGAGUUUCGGGCCUCCGAAGUUUGGAAUGUUAGAACGCCUAACUCAUUCGUGAUCAGUAUGUAUGUAUCUUGUGAUCAGUAUGGCCCUUUGUGUAUGUGAUGCAUGUGUGUAACUCAUUCGUGACCUGCAUGUCGCGUGUACGGCAACACGGCUGGAGCCAUAUGUGUUGUCACUUUAAUGUAUUUAAUGGUCUGCGUACCAAUCUGUGAUGAUCCAAGCAACUAUGUAAUCUUCAUUACUAGCUUCUUUACUAGCUAUUAGGCGUAAUAGCAUGUUCUAGUUCUUGGAGGACUCAUCACUAGGAGGAUGGCGCACAUGGAACAUGGAGAUGGAGAUCACCAUGGUGAACAGGUUCUGUGGAGAUGGAGAUCACCAUAUGAAAACGGGCCAUACUGUGUCACAACUGUGUGAAUGCUAUUCUGUUUAUGUUUUACGAUCUGCAUGCUGUGAUGUUAGAAGUAGAACGAUCCCUCACAAAGUUUAAGGUAGUAUGCCCUCCCAACUAAAACUUGCACCGUCCCAUGUCUUGUACAAUUAGUGGUGGGUCUAUGAAAUUAGGGUGCCACUAGUUUUCCUUGACUAGACGGGUUUGUGUCGGACACAUACAAGCAUAAGGGUUGGUUUUCUUAACAAGGUUAUCUUAAUGGUUAAGGACCUUAGGGCAUAAAGGUUGGGCGCCGAGACAUGAAAAUGUCACCCAACAACAGGAGUCAUAUGUGAUAUGAUUAGCAAAAGUUGCUUACCGAUCUACCUUGUUUGCUAGCGGUGAUGCUAAAGCUCACUACUAGACUUGUUAGUUGUGGAUCCUGAAUCACUAAGUUUCAAUAGAGGGAUAUUGAUGUUAGUGGGAGUAGAUUCUGUUAAAAUAAGUUUAAUGUGAUUUGCUCUAUCAUGGAUACGUUUGUCUUAGUGUAUUUUGCAUUACUUUUGUUGUAGAUUAAAUGGCACCUAACAGCACUACACCGUUUGCUUUGUGUUUGGUCCUUGAGAAGGACAAGUUGAAUGGAACAAAUUACUCAGAUUGGAUCCAUAACCUGAGAAUUGUUCUCAGGGCUGAGAAAAAGGAAGAUGUUCUAGACAACCCACUACCAGAAGAACCUGCUGAUGAUGCACCCGCUGCUGCUAAGAAUGCUUACAAGAAAGCAUGUGAUGCUAACCUUGAAGUAAGCUGUCUUAUGCUUCCUUGCAUGGAACUCGAGCUGUAGAUGCAGUUCGAAACAAACCAUGAGGCGCACGAUAUGAUCAUGGCGCUUAGAGACAUGUUCCAAACACAGGCCAGGACUGGAAGGUUCAAUGUGUCUAAGGCCUUUGUGGAGAGCAAGCUAGCAGAAGGCGCAGCAAUAGGACCACACGUAAUCAAGAUGGUUGGUUACACUCAACGGUUGGAGAAGCUGGGCUUCCCACUAGGCCAAGAGUUGGCCACUGAUUUCAUUCUUUCGUCUCUUCCGUCUAGCUAUGGGAACUUCAUCUCGAGCUACCAUAUGCAUGGGACGGAGAAGGGUCUGAAUGAGCUGUGUGGCAUGCUUAAAAUAGCAGAGGCUGACAUCAAGAAAAGUGCUAGUAGCAGCCAUGUGAUGGCUAUACAGAAUAAGCCUAGCUUUAAGAAGAAGGGAAAUUCUUGGAAGAAGAAGGGCAAGGCUGGAACGUCCAAGCCAAACCCAGCGCCCAAGGUUAAAGCUGGACCUGGACCUGCUCCAGACAAAGAGUGCUUUUACUGUCAUGAACUUGGUCACUGGAAGAGAAAUUGCAAGUAGUACCUAGCUUCAUUGAAGAAUGGUGGAAGUAAGAGUACUUCCACCUCAGGUACGCUUGUUAUUAAUGUUAUAGACAACAUAUUUCUCGCUGAUACAAUUAUUAAUUCUUGGGUAUUUGAUAUCGGAUCGGUUGCUCAUAUUUGCAAUUCGAUGCAGGGAAUGAUAAGAAGUAGAAGCGUGGAAAGAGGAGAAGUUGAUUUCCGCGGAUUGGUUGCUCAUAUUUGCAAUUUGAUGCAGGGAAUGAUAAGAAGUAGAAGCGUGGAAAGAGGAGAAGUUGAUUUCUACGUGGGCAAUAAUGCAAGAGUUGCUGCGUUGACUAUCGGGACGAUGCAACUCCACCUCCCGUCAGGAUUUAUUAUGGAGUUGAAUAAUUGUUAUUUCAUUCCUAGUUUAAGUUGAAACAUUUUGUCUCCUUCAUGCUUGAUGAAGGAUGGUUAUUCAUUUGCGAGUGAAAAUAAUGGUUGUGUGAUCUCUAAGAAUGAUAUGUUUAUGGCUUUUGCACCCCACCUCCUGUCAGCAUUUAUUAUGGAGUUGAAUAAUUGUUAUUUCAUUCCUAGUUUAAGUUGAAACAUUUUGUCUCCUUCAUGCUUGAUGAAGGAUGGUUAUUCAUUUGUGAGUGAAAAUAAUUGUGUGAUCUCUAAGAAUGAUAUGUUUAUGGCUUUUGCACCCAUUGUGAAUGGAUUGUUUGUUUUAAAUCUUGAUGGUUCACCUGUCUGUAACGUAAGUGCUAAAAGGCAUCGGCCUAAUGAUUUGAGUCCUACCUACUUGUGGCAUUGUCUUUUGGGUCAUAUAAGUGAAAAACGCAUGAAGAAGCUCCAUUCUGAUGGACUUCUAACUUCGUUUGAUUUUGAAUCAUAUGAGACAUGUGAGGCUUGCUUGCUAGGCAAGAAGACCAAGACACCUUUCACAGGAUUUGCUGAGAGAGCAAUAGACUUGUUCGAACUCGUACAUAGCGAUGUAUGCGGACCAAUGAGCAUGACGGCUAGAGGAGGAUUACAAUACUUCAUAACUUUCACUGAUGAUUUUAGUAGAUAUGGCUAUGUCUACUUGAUGAGGCACAAGUCUAAAACCUUUGAAAAGUUCAAGGAAUUUCAGAAUGAAGUUAAAAAUCAGUGUGGCAAGAAAAUUAAGGCCUUACGAUCUGAUCGUGGAGGCGAGUAUUUGAGCCACGAGUUUAGCAAUCAUCUAAAGAGUUGCGGAAUUGUUCCACAACUUACGCCGCUUGGAAUUGUUCCUUGAAUAUCCAUUAAAGGCUGCUUGAAUUGAUUUGCAAUUAUGUGAAUUGUAUGCGAAACUCUUUACUUGUAUGGUUAUUCUAAAGUUGUUCCUAGUCGGAGUUCAUGUGAGGACACACAUGAAUAUUAGACUAGCACAUAUAUUAGUUGAUGACUAUGUUGCACGAGUCAUGGACAUGGAGAUGUUGAACUAAUAAUGUGGGCACAUGUGGAGACAUGUGCUAGGACUGACCCAACACGAGAAGUAGUUCUCUCUUUACACAACAUAUACGCUUUGUCCUUAGACCUGAGAUUGUCGCAUGUACUCAAGAUGUGGAUCGAGUUACUUAGGGGCUAUCAAAUGCUACGCCGUAACAGGGUAGUUAUAAAGGUAGCUUUCGGGUUUGUCAAGAAGCAUGCUAUGAGACAUGGUAAAUUAAGAUGGGAUUUGCCCCUCUAUGAUUGAGAGUGAUAUCUCUGGGCCCCUCGAGUGAUCGAAUCUGAAAAUGCAUGGCCAUGCUACGUACGGUUAAGAGUUAACCUACAAAGGGAUUCCGAAUCAUAGGAUUGAGAAAGAGCGGUCGGCUUGAAGCUAGACCAAAUAUCGUGAGGCAAAGGGAAUAGCAUGUAUAUAAUGUUGUGAUGGUUCAUCUGAUAUGAUCUUAAUGUGUGUAUAGGAGUUGGCACGUCUUGCUAGAGGCUGCUACCGACUAUUGGGCGGAGUAGGAGUACUCGGGCCAUGUCUAUACGUAUCCGAACCCAUAGGGUCACACACUUAAGGGGUUGGAAGCCCAAUUCGGAUGUGAUUCGAGUUGGAUUAGGUUUAGAAGUACUAAUGGGCCUCGGACCUAGAGGCUCGUUAGGAACCUCUAUAAAUAGAGGGGUGGGGGCGCCCUAGGGUUUACACCUUUUUGGCGAAACACAUCUGCUACGCCUCCCACGCCCUCGCCUGUUUCAAUUUGCGGAUCUAGCAGUCCGGCUUUCAACGCUUCCUCCCUGCAUGUGUGGAUACCUUGGAGGUGUUGCGCUUGCAGCACUUGGUUGAGCCGCUGACGGGCCAUGACGAGCCGAUGUCGAGCCGUGGCACGAGGGCGAUCUUGCAGCACAUGGACGACUACGCUGAUCAACUUUGGUGCAUCGACGUGAAUCUACAUCUUCCGCAUCAGUGCAUCGAGUGGUAUUCCUGUGAUCCUUAUACGACAGUUUUCCUGUUUUACGCGGUAGAAAUUUUUGAUUUGCGCUAGUGUAGCCUACCUCUAUCCCAACAGUGGGUGCCAUUGAGAAUUAAGGAGUCAAAUGGUGACACAGGGAACACGAUUUAGACAGGUUCGGGCCGCUAGAUCGCUGUUGACGCCGGAUUUCGUCAUCAGUAGAAUCGGCGCCAAGGAGGAAAAGAAGUCGAGGAAGUACGGAUGGAAUCGGUCAGAAGAUGCUAUAAUACGGAAUCGGUCAGUAGCUUUUACUUCGCUUCAGGGUGGAUGCACCAGAUUCCCAAUCGGCAAUCCUUUGCCGAUGAGAAAUCGGCCGAUCUGGAAGGUAGACUAAGGUGGGCCUGUAUGGGCUUGGAAAGAUGGAGGAACAAGGUGGAGUUCAGCCCACGAAGCGUGGGGUGAUUAGUUUAGCACGGAUUGUGUUUGUAGAUAUUUGUUUUCUGUUUGAAUUAGAGAUAGAGUUCUAGUCGGUUAAGAAGAUUAUUUGUACGGGGCUAUAAAUAGCUACCUUUGUGAAUCUGUAAAAACAAUCAAUCAAUCAAUACAACAAGUUACUUUCUUCUUCGUGCUUACUUUCGAGCAGGCGACUUCGCCAUCAUUUUUUUCUUCUCACGAGUUCGUGCGGAUUGGCAGGGCUGCAUCAUCUUGAUCUCCGGCCGAUUCUGUAAGUUCCGUUUAUCGAGUAAUACCUAAGCUUUAACUUCUGGCGCAUCGCUGUUGUUUCGUUUAGAAUUAUUCAUCAGUUAUCGAUAUCAACUAAAUUCAUAGGUUUUUACCUGUUUUUCUAGUUUUUAUCACCAGUUAUCCUGCUAGGAAUCGGUAAUAUUGGCUUUCAUUACUUCCUGUUGUUAGAUCCAUUCAUUGCCGAUUAGAUCUUUUCUUAGUGCUGUUAUCAUAAGCUUUGUACCGAUUACUUUAGUACUUUUCUGUCUACAAAGCUACAGAGAUCGUGCUGUUUUAUAGCCGAUUUCACUAUCACAGUAGAUCGGCCGAUUCGCCGAUAAGCUCUCUCGAUCGGAAACUUAGCCGAUCGUAGUUACUGAAUUUGACACGUGUUAUUCCUUGCCAAUCAACAGGUCAGAUUGGCUGGCACGCCGCGCGAACCGCACCAGGGCAUUUACCCGAACAGGAGCUAAGCAGAUUCUCCCGGGUCGUGUGUCGGUCGCUAGGAUUCGGUUGACCGAUUUCUAGCGUCAACACACUUUUGGCACGCCCGGUGGGACCAAUACAACCGCUGUCAUGUCGAAAGCUGCUGACGUCUCCGAAGAUAACGUCAUUGAAGUGACGGAGGCAGAUCUAAAGGACGACCAAAAAGAAGAUCUGAAUCAGUAUUUGGAGCAAGUCCGUAAAACUUGCUUGAAAUCCUUCAGUCGUUCCAGGAGCGGGGAAACUAUUAAAAAGUCUCCUUUCCCUACUCCUCGCCAGAUCACAAUUUCAGAAGAUUCGGAUAAAAUGUCCGAUAUGAUUCAACAAUCUCUUCAUCACGCCUUCAUCAAUCAAUCCCCGGUACUUUCAAACAUGGUGCACAAUGCUGUUGUCAACUCCUUCGCCGGAAGUAUACCACAAGGGUACAGGGGACCUACGUAUUUUCAGCCGAUUCCACCAAAUCAGGCUUAUCAGGCUUCUCAGCCGAUCCAAUCCUCUGUCGGAGGAACCGGUGCUUCUACGUCAUCAACUCCUUUGGGAUAUGGCUCUAUCCAACCGUCCUCUGCACCACUCCCUCCAGUCAUUCCUCUACCCUGGGGAACGCCUUUAAACACGACCGGUUUGAAUCAAUCGGUCAGUCAAGGAAAUCCUCCGUUCCAAACACCCUCCCAAACGGCCACUCGGCCGAUCAUACUACCAUACCAGCCUAUCACUCCGGAGGUCAACAAGACGUCAGAGCUCAUGAUAUAUGAUGAAACAAGUGGUGCCUACAAGCAGCCGUCCUUUACUACACCACCGGCCUAUACUCAGAUACCACCUUUUCAUCAAUCUCCUUUUAAUCAACCUCCGAUUUAUCAGCAUGUGCCGAUCCCACCGCCAACUAUUCCCCAGCAACAACCAGAUUGGUCGGCGCAAAUCGCGGAGGUAAUGCAAGAACAAUUCGGCCUGAAGCCGAAGGUGCAAUCGUAUACCUACAGGACACCAUACCCAUCUACGUAUGACUUGUUGCCGUUUCCCCAUCGGUACAAAGUUCCUGAUUUUACCAAAUUUUCGGGGAUGGAUGAUACUUCUACCGUAGAACAUGUGAAUAGAUUCAUCAUCCAAUGCGGGGAGGCAGCUACGCAAGAUGCCCUGCGGGUACGGUUGUUCUCGUCAUCCUUGUCCGGAUCGGCCUUCCAAUGGUUCACCACUUUGCCACCAAACUCAAUUAUAACAUGGGCCGAUCUAGAAAGGCAGUUCCACAAGUACUUCUAUGCUGGGGUCCACGAAAUGAAGCUGUCUGAUUUGACUAGCCUCCGGCAAAGAAGUGAUGAGCCGAUACCCUCGUACAUACAGAGGUUUCGGGAAAUCAGAAACAUAUGUUACUCCCUGGCUCUAACCGAUGCACAGUUGGCCGAUAUAGCUUUCCAAGGCCUGAUGCCACACAUUAAAGAAAAAUAUGCUUCACAAGAGUUCGAGAGCCUGAGCCAGAUUGUCCACCGAUUGUCCGGACAAGAAGUGCGUCCAUUCGAUUCAAGAAGGAAUUUUCAGAAGAAAGUGGCAUUCCUGGAAGAAGUAGAGGAUGAAGAAGACGCCGAAAUCGGACUCGCAGAAUGGAUUAAAGGAAAGAAGCCAAUAUCAUGUCCUUUUGGCAAGAAGGAGCCGGAAGCAUUUGGUUUCGAUACAACUAAAGCCGACAAAAUCUUCGAUCUUCUACUCCAGGAAGGGCAGAUUAAACUCUCGCCUUACCACACAAUUCCCUCUGCCGAACAAUUGAAGAAGAUGAAGUAUUGCAAGUGGCACAAUGCCACGUCACAUGAUACCAACGAGUGUAAAAUCUUCAGACAACAAAUACAGUCGGCCAUUGAGCAGGGCAGACUCAAAUUCGAAGUGCCGGCAAAACUGGCCAAACUAAUGAAAAUCGACCAGCACCCUUUUCCUACCAACAUGGCUGACACGGAAAAGAAUUCUCUCACAACAAAAGUGCUGACGUCCGAGUCGGCCAAAAAGAGUGGCGCUGUCGAUCCCAGAUAUCAAAUCACGUCUGAAGGCAUCAAGGGAAAGCGACGAAUGGAGGACGAUGAUGGUGAGUCAGAAAGGCCACGCAUUACCUCCCAAUUCCUGCUCCAAAAGUACCAGCGCCAACAUGAGCAUUCAAGGUCACGAGAAGAGGCGAUGCGUCGGCACGAGGAGCACUGGAGAUGCCCAUUCUUCGUACAUUGUUGGGAAAAUAACCUCAGGCUACCAUCGGCAGAUACUUGCCCGGAGUGCAACGGUCCCUAUCGAGGCAAUCGGCCGUUCACCAGGUCUCGCUCCAGAGAUAGAAGGCCAGAACCGAUCAGCAGGAAUUGGCGCAACCCAGAUGAGCAGCGCCCUCCCGUGCAUGAUCGGCUGGGGGGCAGGAGUGACCAAUAUGAUCGGUCAAAAGGAAGAAGCCAUAAUAGGCAGGGGGGCAGGGCCGAUCGUCAUGAUCAAUCAAAUAGCAAAGCCAGCGUUCACAGCCGGCUCGAAGACAUGGCCGAUGUUCGGGUAACGGAUGAGAACCCAUUAGGACGAGAGCCAGAAUGGGAACGCGCCAGGAAAGAAGGGAGGCCAAUAAACCCCAGAUGGUGCCCCGAUGGUUUAACCAAAUCACAAAAAUGGAGAAUCCAACGCCUCCGCCAAUGGGAACAGCAAGAAGAAGAGAACGCGAUGGACAAGAAGGAAGGGAGGCCUCGGGUAUGGCGCCCCAAAAGAAACGACAAGGACAAUGAUGAAUCGACGGGUGAUGAAUCGGCAGCCGAAAUCGGUAUGGUUUUCAUAUUGCCGAUGGAGUUCAUGACCCCUGCCGAUCAACAAGACGUGUCGGCGAUAGAGGAACAAACAGCACGGUUGGUUUUAGAACCAAUGAUGGCCACGUUCGAAAAGCCCGAAGACGACGAACGACAACAUAUGAAGGCAUUGUUCCUUAAAGGGCAUGUUGACGGUCGUCCCCUCACUAGAUUGAUGGUCGACGGGGGAGCUGCCGUCAACAUCAUGCCAUAUGCCAUACUCCGAAAGUUGGGAAAGAGCGACGACGACCUAACCAGGACGGACAUGAUGCUCAAGGACUUCGAGGGCAAGGUGUCAAACGCUCGCGGUGCCCUCUGCGUCGACCUCACCAUCGGCAGUAAGACCCUUCCUACCACGUUUUUCGUCAUUAAUGGCAAAGGGUCCUAUAAUAUGCUUCUUGGCCGAGACUGGAUACACGCAAACUGCUGCAUCCCGUCAACUAUGCAUCAAUGCCUUGUACAAUGGGUCGGUGAUAACAUCGAGGUGGUCAAAGCCGACUCCGCGUACAGCAUCGCAGCAGCCGACGCACAGCAAUGGAGCUGCGAAACCGUCAGAUGCAUAUCAGGUAGGGUGUGGGAAACCGAUUUCCUGAAGGUCACCGAUUUUGGCCUACAGCCGAUCCGAGCAGUCGGCUCCGAAGAAGCGCAAUAGAUGGAUCAGUUUGCCCGAGAGGACGGGAAGCUGGGACACGGAUUCACGUCGGCCGAUUCAUUAGAGAUGAUAGACUUAGGUGACGGGACCAAACCAAGGCCGACUUUUAUUAGUGCAAAUUUAGACCCAGAGUAUAAGUGUAAAUUGACGAAUUUAUUAAAAGAAUUCAAGGAUUGUUUUGCUUGGGAGUAUCACGAGAUGCCCGGAUUAGAUCGAUCUAUUGUUGAACAUCGGCUACCCAUAAAGCCAGGGUAUCGGCCGUACCAACAACCCGCACGGCGGUGCAAUCCUAAAAUUUUACCAGACAUAAAAGCCGAAAUAACUCGGCUAAUUGAGGCAAAAUUUAUUCGGCAAUGUCGUUAUGCCGAAUGGAUUUGUAAUAUCGUGCCGGUGUACAAGAAAAAUGGGAAGCUACGCGUCUGCGUCGAUUUCAGGAAUCUUAAUCAGGCCACACCGAUGGAUGGUUACCCCAUGCCUACGGCCGAUGUAUUGAUCGACGCUGCCGCGGGACACAAAAUUAUUAGCUUCAUGGAUGGAAAUGCCGGAUACAAUCAAAUACUUAUGGCUGAAGAGGAUAUACCCAAAACAGCUUUCAGAUGUCCAGGCCAUCUUGGUCUAUUCGAGUGGGUGGUGAUGACUUUCGGCUUGAAGAAUGCCGGUGCUACAUAUCAGAGAGCCAUGAACUACAUUUUUCACAAACUCAUUGGCCUCCUGGUGGAGAUCUACAUCGAUGACGUUGUGGUCAAGUCCAAAAGCCACGAGGAACACCUAGCCGAUUUGCGAAGGGUGCUAGAGUGUACCAAAAAGCAUGGUCUUAAGAUGAAUCCCAACAAAUGCGCUUUCGGCGUUUCCGCCGGACAGUUCUUAGGAUUCAUGGUGCACGAACGGGGUAUAGAGGUCAAUCAGAAGACCAUAACGGCCAUCAACAAAGUCGUUGCUCCACAGAACAAAACUGAGCUACAGUCUCUAAUCGGCAAGGUGAACUUCAUCAGAAGGUUUAUAUCUAAUCUAUCUGGACGGAUUCAGGCGUUCACACCACUUCUGAAGUUGAAGCCAGACCAGGAAUUUAUAUGGGGAGAAGAACAGCGCAAGGCGUUAGAAAACAUCAAACGAUACUUGGUCUCACCCCCAGUCCUGGUUCCCCCUCAAACGGGUAAGCCGUUUAAACUAUAUUUAUCAGCCGAUGAAAAAGCUAUUGGGUCGACUCUAGUCCAAGAAUUUGAAGGCAAAGAACGGGUAAUUUAUUACAUUAGUAGAAGACUCCUGGAUGCCGAAACAAGAUAUCCUCCAGUGGAGCGUUUGUGUUUGUGUCUUUACUUCUCGUGCACCAAACUCAGGCACUAUCUACUGUCGGCAGAAUGUAUAGUCGUAUGCAAAGAUGAUGUAGUAAAAUACAUGCUGUCACUACCGAUAUUGAAAGGACGAAUCGGUAAGUGGAUCUUAGCUUUAUCGGAAUUUGACCUGCGGUACGAAUCGGCAAAAGCCGUCAAGGGUCAAGUCAUGGCCGAUUUCGUCGCCCAGCACUGUGGGCUGGAGGUCGCUUUCGUGGAACUAGCGCCUUGGCAAUUAUUUUUUGACGGGUCAUCAUGCGGGGUCGGAUCAGGAAUCGGCAUCGUUCUCAUAUCGCCUCGGGGGGCAAGAUAUGAUUUUUCUCUGCCGAUAGAGACCGCCGCCACAAACAAUCAAGCAGAGUACAGAGCUGUAUUAAAAGGCUUACGAUUAUUGAGAGAAGUCAAAGCCGAUUCUGUUGAGGUCUUCGGAGAUUCGAUGCUAAUCGUGGAUCAACUAACCGGAAGGGCCGAGUGCAAAGAUGACAUAUUACGGAUUCAUCACGAAGAUUGCUUACAGCUUUUAAAAGAAUUCAGAUCGGCAACAAUCGAGCACGUCCCAAGAGACCGCAACGAGGAAGCAAACAAGCUCGCUCAACACGCAUCUGGGUAUCGGCCGAUUCCAGGCACCAUGGCCUUAGAACUUGCAGCUGACGACUGGCGUAAGGAAAUUGCCGAUUACCUGAAGGAUCCGUCCAAAAAGGUGGAGCGGCGAGUGCGCUUUCAUGCCACCAAGUACGUAUUGCUCGAAGAUGAUCUGUUCUACCGAACGAUCGACGGUGUUCUUCUUAAAUGCCUUGGGAUGGAAGAAGCCAAGACUCUAAUGGGGGAAAUCCAUGAAGGGGUAUGCGGAGCUCACCAAUCAGCACAUAAGAUGAAGUGGAUGAUCAGAAACAACGGGUACUAUUGGCCUACGAUCCUCGAAGACUGUUUCAAAUAUUAUAAGGGUUGUCAGGAGUGUCAAAAGUUCGGAAAUAUCCAACGCGCACCCGCGUCGGCCAUGAACCCCAUCAUCAAACCAUGGCCAUUCAGAGGGUGGGGAAUAGACCUUAUCGGCCAAAUUUAUCCACCAUCGAGCAAGGGGCACAAGUUUAUUCUGGUUGCUACUGAUUACUUCACCAAGUGGGUGGAGGCAAUCCCAUUAAGAACUGUGACUUCGGCUAUCAUGGCCGAUUUCGUAAGGGAUCAUAUCGUCUACCGAUUCGGUAUCCCUCAAACCAUAACAACCGAUCAAGGAACAAUGUUCACAUCGGGGGAAUUUGAGGAGUUUACAACCGAUAUGGGCAUCAAAUUGUUAAAUUCUUCUCCGUAUUACGCCCAGGCCAAUGGUCAAGCAGAAUCUUCCAACAAAGGAAUAAUCAAGUUGAUCAAAAGGAAGAUUGAAGAAUACCCGAAGAAGUGGCACCUGUGUUUGAUCGAAGCCCUAUGGGCAUACAGAAUGGCCUGUCAUGGGGCUACCAAGUUAUCCCCCUAUCAGUUGGUAUACGGUCACGACGCAGUACUUCCGUGGGAGUCGAGGGCAGGAUCGAGGCGCAUUUCACUUCAGGACCAAUUAUCAGCCGAUGACUACUCAUCUCUGAUGAAAGAAGAACUUGAUGAUUUGGCCGGCCAACGACUAAGGGCUCUGAUAAGUAUCGAAGAGAAUAAAAAGAGAGUGGCCAGGUGGUACGAUAAAAAGGUCAAAGUCAAGCAGUUCUCCCCUGGAGACUUGGUAUGGAAGUUGGUGCUACCGAUUGGGUCGAAAGAUCCUAAAUUCAGCAAGUGGUCUCCUACCUGGGAAGGGCCGUAUAAAAUCGGCAAAUGCGCUCCAGGGAAUGCCUAUAUCUUGGAAACAAUAGAAGGAGAAGAAUUCACUAGAGCUCUGAAUGGGAGGUACUUGAAAAGAUAUUACCCAAGUAUAUGGGUCGGUGCCUAAGGAAUCAACACGAUCAUACAUGACCGAUACGAGUCGGUUUUGAGGCGCACAUAAAGUCGACCAGAACGGCCGAUUACAUUCAUUCGGUUCGGGCAACAGAUCACAUGGCCAACAAAACGCUUAGUCGCCCUUAGAACAAAAAAUACAGCAACUAAUUAUUCUUUUUCUUACGCUCCCUCUCAGCCCGACCUAACUCUAUCAUGAGUCGGAGGUAUUCUUCUUCUAUGGCCUUCAUUGAAAUCUCCGCUUCGGCUUGGCGGGGGGAAUCUACGGGAGGGCGCGAAGUCCUUGCUCCCGCGUCUUCAAGAACGACUUGCCGAGGGAGUGGAUGACUCCUGUCGUUGGGAAGUCGCCGGCUGCCGUUCCUCUCCACGAAGUCCAGGAUCGUUCGGGCCGCCGUGACGGUGUCGUCUUCAAGAUCGACACAACGAUGGCUCCUGACGGGUGGAGAUUGAUGGUUAUUUUCACUCACCACGGAAUCCAAGACCACGCGAGCCUCCGUGGUAAUGUGGUCCCGGAGCUCCUCUCGGUGAGCCACGAUCAGCAACUUGUCCUCCGACGUUAAUGGAUCUUCGGAAUGAAUGCACUCAAUGGCGCGCACGAGCUCGGGGCUAAGACGUUGAGGCUGAAACAAAGAAGGAAUGAGGGGGGGUAUUUUCUUCCUUAGGGUCUAAAAAAGAAGGGAAGGUAGAGGUCAAAGACUUCACCUGGUUAACAGAGGAAGAAGAAGACGACGAGGCCAUGGCGAAGAAAUUGCGCCGAUGAAAAGGGGCAGAAAAGUUAAACCGAGAGCCAAGAUUGAUGCUACCAGGAGUAAGCGCCGAGGUUGGUGUUUAUAAAAGGAUGCAUGGAAAUCUGGUAAGGCUACGUCCCAUCGGUAAUAAGAAGGCAAUAAAUAGAAAGGGCGUCGCGAGGGGCGGUCAAAGAAGAUAGUAAAUGAUUCGUACAAAGCGGUCAGUGUUUUACAGAUUACCCAGAAGGGUAUCGAUAGCCGUGAUGGCCCGACGCCGGAUCUGAUCGGCAGAGUCAAGUACCCGUUGGUCUUCUUCCGCCGAUCCAGGAACCUCCGAUGCGCUGCGAUGGAGUCUCAGUGCCUCGUGAGCAAAGCGUUGCCUCUCCCGUGUUAAAUCGGCAAUAACAGAGGGUAGCUCUUGGAGUUUGUUCUCUUCGGCACUGAUUGCCUUGGUCACUUGCUCCAUUUCCUUGGCAAGCUCCGCCCUCCGACGCUUGAGACGGUCUAUUUCACCUAUGAUCGCCGGGCGGGAAUCUUCUAGGACAUGGAUACGCCGGUUCGCCUCUUGAGCCUGACGUUUGAAAGCGUCUUCCUCUUCGCGAGCCUUGAUCAGCUUGGCGCGAUCGGCCAUGUGACAAAGGGUUCUGAAGACCGGGACCCUCAUAGACUCGAUGAAGGCCGCCGGCGCCAAGGCCUCCUCCGCCUCUUCUGGUACUCGUCCGCUGACGUCAUUGAAGAGCUGCCGAAUCGGUGAAGCGUCUUCUACUAAUCGGCCGAUGUCCCCUUGAAGGAGGGAUCGGAUGCUGGAAAGUUUGGCUCGGACGUCAUCAGGAACGGAACUCAAGGCGACUUGGCGAGAAGCAACUUCUUCGUCAUCAGAAAGGGCGACCGCAAAAGAAAAGAGGCUGUUGUCGGGGGUAUCCUGUUCCUGAAGAUAAUAAAGAAAAGAAAUAAACCAGCUGCAAGAAAGAGUAAAUCGGCUAAGAUAGAAGCCGAAACAGAAAAUUACCAUUUUGAAGCGAAUCUCCUCAUGUUGCACUUGAGAAGCCGCCAUGCCUUGCUCGGGGGCCUGCGCCAUGGGUUCAUCAGAUGAAGAGGACUCCACGAUAAUCGGCGUAGUGUUUGGACCAACCUCCUGACAAGAAAUCGGCGAUCGAGGAGCGAUUGAUGUGCCGAUGGCCUGUGUCAGAAGUUGGAAUAAAUACGUUACGAGAAUGCCCAAAGGAAAUCGGUACGAGAGGUUCUAUACCUUAACGGAAGGAAAUGGGGGCGCAUCAAUAGCUGGAGGGGCUGCUGCCGAUUGUGGUACUUCUGUAGGGAUGCUCUGUGCAGUUUAAGGUUAAAGAAAAGUUAAUAUCAAAAUAAUAAUCGGAGGCAGCUCAACUCAGUGUUACCUGUAUGGCCUCCAACAACAACGAUGCGGCGGCCGCCCCAGCUUGCGUCAUGGUUUGAGCAUCGGCGCCUUGAAUGACCUGAGAAGGUGGUACGGCCGAAGUUUCUGCCGAUACGCGCACAGGAGGAUCCGCCGAUCCCGUACGAGCCCGGACUCGGCGACUGGUCUUCUUAGUGGUCCUUUUAUGAAUUUGUUUCGAUCGGCCAGUAAUCAUGUCAACAGACGGGGCGUCAUAGCCGAUAAGGGGAUAAGUAGUGUAUGGAUAACUCUCUAUUAGUCGUCCGCUGCGGCUGUGUGUUGGAGGGGUCCGAUUCUCGGCCUAGAAUAAUAAAAUCAUUAGUACUCGAUCAUGUUAAGAGGAAUAAAAGGGAAUAAAAAUCGGCUAUGUGAAGUACCUCGGCGUUUGGAUCAAUGUUGGUCGGGUCCAGAAGAUUGCAGUAUGCCGAUGCCGAGUUGCAGAAGAGGAAUUGCUUCCAAUCGGCCCACCAAAGUUUGAACGGCUGGACAGCAAAUGGAGCUACUAGCCAGUCGUUCAAGUUAAUUGUACUGGAGUCUGGAAUUCGGUCUCGCAACCGACCGUAAUCUAGGCCAGUUGUGAGCUCAUCCCUAAACUUGAUUUUGCCAGCAAAGUACACCUGAAUCGGCAACUGACCCAUGCCGAAUUGUCGUGCUGCAGCAGAAGGGUUGUAGAAUUCGUAUGUAGGGGCAUCCUUCCCUGAGAAGAAGUUGGCCGGUAGGAGCCCUGGCUUGAUCAACCCUUCAUAGAGAUCUUCAUCAAACCGGCCAGAAGUUGAAUCGAAACAGGAGGGGAGCUCGAAAAUUGGGAUGUCUCGCUGGUAAGGAAACCAGAUAGUUGCGUCCUCAUUAAAUCCAUUAUAAAAGCACCGAAAGUACUCGGUUACCUUUGUAGCGGAAUACGCACAACCUGGGAAAGCUGAUGCCGCUUCACCAUAAGACAUGCAUCGGCGACGCUCGGUAGGGUCUUCUGCCGAUUCAAUAUUGGGAAACGUCAUGUGGUCCACUGGCUGCCGGGUGAUCCUAUUCAUAUAAAGGUUCAACCAUAGAUUGAUGAACCACCAAGGCCCGCCUGGGUUGCCGAUUGGUUCUCCCUUGGAAAGUUUUGUGCCGAUUUGAUGGAGCAUGUGGUACACAGCACCCAGAAGAUGUUUCCUGAGAGGAAUGUGGCUUCCUUUGGAUAGUGCCUCGGCUAAAGAUUGGGUGUUGGUUGUUGGGCCGGCGGCUCUUCCACAGAAAAGGUGUUUUUCUAGCCACAUCAUCAGGAAAGCGGUGUGUUCCCUGUUAUCAACAGUACCGGUGUUCUUGUUAUUACUAAUAAAGCCCUUCCAGCCGCCGAUUCCUCUUGUGUCCAGCCGAUGCGAUGGUACGGUCAGAAGUUGGAAAGGCGUGUCAGGGGAAGAUAUGUCCAGGCCAGUCAAGAGGACCACAUCGGCCAGAGUAGGGGUCAUGGGACCGUGUCCAAAUAAGAAUGCAUUAAGUGCGUCAGACCAAAAAUAGGAAGCCGCCAUCACUAGCGGUUCGUUUCUCUCCAUUUGCGACAGGGAAAGGUUGAUACAUUGGCCGAUUUUGAGCUCAUCCCACGAGACGCUCCUUGACGCGGCUACCCGUUGGUACCAUUCCCUCCAACCUGGGGUCUCAUGCGGCCAAGAUCUAAAAGUGCUGGCCCAUUGAUCUAAGUUCAUAUCAGAUCGUUUGAAAGGUAUCCGGUCAGUUUCCAAGUUUAUGAAGUCUGCUAGGUCCGGGUCUCCCAUAGGACCAAGGCAAACAAGGCCAGGACUACCCGUAAGAUGAAUAGUAAUUCUAUGUCUAACUGCCUAAAAAAGGAAAAGAGGCAUAAGAAUAUAAAGAGUAGAUCUAAGACAAAUGUGUUACCGAUAGAGGAAAGAUUCGGUAUUUACCUCCGGUAUAAAAUUCUGAGUAAUCGGUGUGGUCGCCGAUGCGGAUGCGAAUGUUGGAGUCGCAAUAGGGAUCGCCAUUGGGAUCUCUGAUGAAGCUCCUUCAUCUGUGGAUGGAGUGACGGUUGUCGCCACCGUUACCGGAGGUGCGACCUCUGGGGUAUCGCGUGCAGGAGAGCUGCCGGAAGGGGUCGCCAUUGAAGGGAAGGGGAAGAAGUGACCGGAGCUGGAACUGGAAGGCUUCGAUGGCAAGAUUGAAGAAGGAAGGAGGUGCGCGCGUUGGAAAAAGAGACGUGAGCUUGAAGAUGAGCUGCGGUAAAAUCUUAUUUAUAGGGUGCCUGAAGAAAGGGUAAAGAUGGAAUUUUCACCGCGCCGGCGCGUCAAGUUUUUCGGGGAAGUGGCUGUCGUGGGCGCCCGUUUCAAAAAAUUGCAAUGAUCAGCCGGGAGACCGCGAAACGGAAGGAUAUUUUCACUGCGGUCGUUUCGGAGGGGAGGUUAUAAAGAAUUUCGAAGUAAAAGGCUUUUACUCCGAAACUGGGGGGCAUGUGUUGACGCCGGAUUUCGUCAUCAGUAGAAUCGGCGCCAAGGAGGAAAAGAAGUCGAGGAAGUACGGAUGGAAUCGGUCAGAAGAUGCUAUAAUACGGAAUCGGUCAGUAGCUUUUACUUCGCUUCAGGGUGGAUGCACCAGAUUCCCAAUCGGCAAUCCUUUGCCGAUGAGAAAUCGGCCGAUCUGGAAGGUAGACUAAGGUGGGCCUGUAUGGGCUUGGAAAGAUGGAGGAACAAGGUGGAGUUCAGCCCACGAAGCGUGGGGUGAUUAGUUUAGCACGGAUUGUGUUUGUAGAUAUUUGUUUUCUGUUUGAAUUAGAGAUAGAGUUCUAGUCGGUUAAGAAGAUUAUUUGUACGGGGCUAUAAAUAGCUACCUUUGUGAAUCUGUAAAAACAAUCAAUCAAUCAAUACAACAAGUUACUUUCUUCUUCGUGCUUACUUUCGAGCAGGCGACUUCGCCAUCAUUUUUUUCUUCUCACGAGUUCGUGCGGAUUGGCAGGGCUGCAUCAUCUUGAUCUCCGGCCGAUUCUGUAAGUUCCGUUUAUCGAGUAAUACCUAAGCUUUAACUUCUGGCGCAUCGCUGUUGUUUCGUUUAGAAUUAUUCAUCAGUUAUCGAUAUCAACUAAAUUCAUAGGUUUUUACCUGUUUUUCUAGUUUUUAUCACCAGUUAUCCUGCUAGGAAUCGGUAAUAUUGGCUUUCAUUACUUCCUGUUGUUAGAUCCAUUCAUUGCCGAUUAGAUCUUUUCUUAGUGCUGUUAUCAUAAGCUUUGUACCGAUUACUUUAGUACUUUUCUGUCUACAAAGCUACAGAGAUCGUGCUGUUUUAUAGCCGAUUUCACUAUCACAGUAGAUCGGCCGAUUCGCCGAUAAGCUCUCUCGAUCGGAAACUUAGCCGAUCGUAGUUACUGAAUUUGACACGUGUUAUUCCUUGCCAAUCAACAGGUCAGAUUGGCUGGCACGCCGCGCGAACCGCACCAGGGCAUUUACCCGAACAGGAGCUAAGCAGAUUCUCCCGGAUCGUGUGUCGGUCGCUAGGAUUCGGUUGACCGAUUUCUAGCGUCAACAAUCGCGUAAUACCCUACGUCCUGUGUGUUGAUUGUAUUGAACUUGGGUGAGUUGGGAGUUGUUGUCUUGAGGAGGUCCCUGCCCGCCCUUAUAUAAUCGGGGGAGCAGGGUUACAAGCGAGAAGCCUAGUCGGGUACGGUUACAGAGUUCUACUUGGGGUAGACACUACCUUCCAUAUACCUAACUAGUCUUCAGGAGUCCGAGUGGGAUACGCCUUGCUGCAUAGCCCCCAUCUGAAUUCUGUGCGAGUACGACCCUUGGUGGGCCGCACAAGGCCUACUCGCGGGCCUGGGAUCCAUGCCCAACAUCUGCUAUGCCCAAACCUGCUUCGAGAGUGCUAGGAAGUUGUGGACCGAGAAUGUGUGAGUCGGUUAUUAAUUUGCUCCUGGAUGUGGGUGUUGGUGACUUGGAGUCACGCUUUGAAUCCGUCAUAUUUGUUCUAAAUCUAGAAAAUUUUCAACCUCGGCAAAGGUAGCCCCCAGGUUGGUCUGGGGUGUGGCAAAGAUGUUGUGGCCGACCUGCUUAAGGUUGGCUAGUAAAUUGCAGGCGCGUAUAGGGUGCCUGCGUUUUUCUCGAGGCCAACUUGGUCGGCGUUGUCGCGGUCGUUGCGCGACUACUGGUGCUGCUCACCUGCUGUGUCUGCGUCAGCAACAGGUUGUUGUUGGGUGUCGAGUUGCUCCUGUUGGCGUCAUGCUGCGCGGAUCUGGUUCCUAGCAUUACGACCUUCUUCUUGAGAUUUUGUUUUGCCAUCCCGAGGUGGCUCAUCAGCAGAGACUACGAAAGCUUCAUGAUCUGGCGUGGAGGAGUUUCUCUCAUCACCGCUUCCGUAGGGAUUUGGUGUCAGAAUGAUGUGAGGCACCUAGAAUUCACCACACUCUGAAAACUGGGUGGGUUUGUGUGGGUCUCCAGAUUGGAUUUGGAAAACCUGGUCAAGCUCGACGGAGUACUCGGUGCUCGAUUUCCACAGACUAAAGGGAUGGGUCCUGCGUCGACCUUGUGGAGCGUAGCACUGCCUCAAAUAAUUCUAUACACUUAGCAAUAGUGCUGCUGAUAUGAUCUAGCCCCGUGAUCAGGUCGGAGGGCAUAGGUGGGUGGGUGCCGGUGAGUAGAUCUGGAACCUUCUCGUAGAGAGAGAGUUCGCCGACUUGCUAGGCGAGUGGCAUCAUGAUCUUUGUGUGGAGAACUUGUUCUGCCAGAGCAGAUCCAAUGGAAGUUGAGUCAGUGUUGGGCACCAAGUUGACUGUAGUUGUCGAGUCAACGGGAGUUGCCGAGUCGACCGAAGAAGUGGUCGGAUCGGAAUCCGCGGUCAUGGUCCCGAAUUGAAUUUGGACUGGGUUGGUGAGGAAGUCCUUCAUGCUCUCAAGAAAAACUACACCGGGACGGGAUGCCGUCGAGGUCGCAAGAAGGAUCUCUCAACCCCCCUACCUGGCACACCAACUGUCAAAUUUAUAAGCCCGACAGUUGACCAGGGGGUUACCUAAGUGGUUGAUUCGUAGAUGAGAGUGAUUGCUAAAUCAAGAACUCGAAGGUGAUCACGAGAACACGAAGGGGACACAAGGAUUUUAUACAAGUUUGGGUCUCCGGAGAGUAAUACCGUAUCUGAUGAUGGGGAUACGCUCGGGAUUGUAUUGCUCGAGAUUUAUCUGAUGAUGAGGAUACGCUCGGGGGAAACCUUAGCCACCUUAUAUAGGCUGACAACCAAUAGUUACAAGUCAGUUUGAAUCUAAUCUACUCGGUAGUUACAUGGAAAGAAAUAUGAGUCAGAUUGUAAUACACGUUCCAUGAUAUCCAAGUAGGUUUGGAUAGUCUUGGUGCCUUGACGUGUACUCCAAGUAACUUCAUGCCCUCGGCCCGCAUGCCCUAGUCGGGCGGGCCCACUUGUAAGGUCCGACCAGUAUCCAGGUCGGUGCGGACCCAUAGAGUAGCCAUAUCCCUCAACAUCUGGUAUGGUCACUGUGCUACCGGUCCUGCGCCGAGUACUAGGUCAAUCAAAAACUCCACAUUCUGAUCUAGAGGUAAUUCUGUCAGCUCUUCUGGAAACACGUCGGGAAACUCACACACCACGGGUACCUCUUCAAGGGUCUUGGAAUACAAACUGCAUAGUAUCGGGGCUAUCUUGGGGUACACGGCUCAAACUGUACUUGAACUCUGCUCGGACGCUCCAAUCUGAUGAAGCAGGGGUUACACAAAACCAGUCCCUUGUUCUUAUCCAACCAAUCCAUUCCCAAGAUCACAUCUAUGGCUGAAGACUUCAACACUGUCAAAUUUGUUAGGAACUGUUGCUUCUCGAUCACCAACGGUACUGCCGUGCAUUGUAAGGUGCUCCUAACUUCUCCUAGGGGAGAACUUGUGAUAAUAGGCCUUGGUCGAGGUGUAGUGGGGAGAGACUGUUCUUCCACAUACUUGGUUGAAACAUAGGAAAACUUGGCACCAGUAUCAAACAAAACUAUAGCUUUGAUUAAAUCAACAAGAAACUCACCUAGAGCAAUGUCUGGAGCUACUGCGGCGUCCUCAGCGGUCAAGUGGUUCAGGCAUCCUCAAGUAGGUGGCGGUGCUGUCCUUGCUGGAUUCCUCAGUGGUGGUCCUCCUGGUGCUGGUGUCUUGAUGGGCAUCUGGUACUGGCUGCUGCAGUUCUAUCCUCCUGCCUAAGUCUUCUGUGGACACUCAUAGGACUUGUGCUCGGGCUGUCGCCAUGUGUAGCAGAUGACCAACUUUGUGCCCUCAGGUGCGGUAGGUUGCUGGGGCCUUGGCUUCCAAGUACCUAAACUUCCUCCUCCUACACUGGGGUUCUUGUACUACUGCUGUUGUGGAAGGUAGCUGCGUGGCUUCUACUGCUGAAACGGUGAGGGUCCCGUCCUCGGCCUCUGAGACCGCUCCUGACGCUUCCUCUUGUGUCCACGGAACUCCUCGAACUCCAGCCUCAACUUCCCCACUCGGAGUGCCUUGCCCACAAGUGCGUGCAGAGUAGGGCAGUUGUGAGUGGACAAGUGCAUCUCUAUGCCAUGUGAAGUCCCUUGCGAAACUAGUACAUCUUCCUUUUCUCCAUGUUGGAGUCAUCCGGUGUGUACCUCAUCAGCUCCUGGAACUUGUUGGCAUACUCUUGCACUUUCAAGUUCCCCAUCUUCAAGUUUCGGAACUCAUCUACCUUUCAAUCCAUGACUGCUUCUGGGAUAUGGUGGUUGCGAAAAGCUGCAGCGAACUCGUCCCAUGUGAUGUGAGCUUGGUCUGCGUGAGAGUCACAGAAACUAUCCCACCAAGCACAUGCUGUCCCAAUCAGCUGGUGAGUGGCCAGCGCCACACACUCCUCAUCUGUACAAUAUGUCAGGUCCAACUUCUUCUCAAUCUCCCUCAGCCAAUCGUCUGCAUCCAGUGGGUUAUCAGAGUUGUCGAACGUGGGUGGACGAAGCUUGGUAAACCCUUCAACCUUCCUCUGCAAAGUCUCAACUGGUAGGUUCCUACACUUUCCUCCCUCCUAGUUGUACUAGAGCAAAGCAUCAACCAUGGUCUGCAUCAACUGCGUCUGAAUGGCCAUCACCUCUGCAAGGUUAGGUGACGGUGGUGCCUGCUGGUCCUCUACACCUCCAGCAUUCAUGUUCUGCUCCUGUUCCUCCUGACCCUCCUGGUGAGCUUCUCCCUUAGCACUAGCUGCGUCUUCUCGUACCUCCAUCUCUGGGACAUGUCCACCCCACCCUCUGUGAUGACCUCCAUGAAGUCCACCUCAGGGACCACGACCUCCACAGUGACCACGACCUCUACCGGGGUUAAACCCAUCCUCGUUGGCCGCCUCUUCAAAAUGGUGCAGCAGCCGUCCCGACCUCCUUAAUCCUGACGUCUAUUCCAAAUGAGAUCGUAAUCAGUGGUUACUCUUAAGAAAUUAGGUAGGGGGUUAAUUAAAUUAUAAGAGAAAUACAAAGAUAUAUAAAACACACAAAUAAUUUCACACAGACAAUAAGAAGCAUAAGAACCAUAAAAUCCAUAUCACUCAAGCAAAGGCACCAUACAAAAGAGGUGUAUCUCGAGAUCUACAAUAGAAGCCUUCAAGAUUACAUGAGGAUCAUCAUGCUACUACAUCGAGAAUCAUGGGGGUGGUAGUCUCUAAAGCUACAACAUCAUAGUGAGCCUAACUUGAACCUAGCACUAGAUCAGAAGCGGUCCUAUCAGUCGGAGAGCGGGAAGUCGUUGUUGUCCACGUCACCAUCUCUAGGGUGGUACUCAGGAGUAGGGCCUCUCCAUAGUCCUGACUCAUCAUCCGAGGGCACAGACAGCUUCAGCGGGUCUCCUCCGUAUAGCCGUGAGAGUGUAGACAGGGCUCUAGUCAUCUCCUCUUUGGCAACCCUGCCUGGCGGGUACAACACCUGUGUGUACAACUUGGACAUUGUUAACUCAAAGCUCUCCACACAAGGCUCCUCUUGUACUCGACUGGAACCUAAGCACUCAACUCCUCCAACUCCAUCAUCCGCUUGCGGUUAGAAUGCUCCCACAUGUGUUGAAGCCUCUCUGCCAAGUCCCUGUUACAGUAACAACGUGAUCCACCAGGUUGUAGUAGUUCCUAUGCAAGCGGUGGUGUAGCUGCUCGACGACACCAUUCAUGGCAGCGAGAGCGGCGUCCAAGGUGUCAACCAGCUCCUCAUUCUCCUUGAUCAUCGCGUUCUUCUCAUUGAUCAUCUAGUCCCUGGUCUUCAGAGCCUCCUCCAUACGAGCGACCCUCAUCUCUAGCUUUAGGAUCUUAAGAGCAUCCCUCCCAUCAUAGGGGUUUGGUGCAGUGUUGAUCUCAUGACGAAGGCAAAGAUUCAUUUGGUCCAGACUCUCCAAAUAUCAAUCAAGUCCCUUGAUCUUGCCCUCCAGCAUGGCGUUGGCUCCGAUGCAGUCAUCCCAACCCUUGCGAAGGACCUCCAUCUCUCAGUCGCACCAGAACAGUGCAAGGCCCUGAGCGUGAAUGGAGCAGGAGGCAACUUUUAACCUCUCAUCGUGCUCUUCGUAGGCGUCCUCCUGGUUCUGCCAGGCUGCUCUCUCAAAGUACACCUUGGGUAGGCAGCGGUAGGGAGUCUGUGCCAGUCUAUCUCGAAGCUGCGCGUGCACCUCUCGCACGGCGAUCCUAGCUGCAGUCCGGUGAGCCUCCGACACUGAAAGCUCGAACGCAAACACCACAACCUUCUCUAGCUCGGGCACCCUGGGGUCCGCAGGCACUGUCAACCUCACCUCCAUCAGCACUGUUGGGAUACAAGGUAGGCUACGCUAGCGGAAAUCAAAAUUUUUCUACCGCGUAAACCAGGAAAACUGCCGUAUAAGGAUCACGGGAUUAUCGCUCGACGCACUGGUGCGGAAGAUGUAGAAUCGUGUGGGUCAGCAAAGUCGAUCAGUGUAGUCAAACGUAGUCGAUCAUGUCGAUGUUGAGCAGCUCCUCAGCAGCUCGUCCACGUGCAGCAAGAUUAUCUUCAUGCCGCGGCUCGUCGGCGGCUUGUCGUGGCUCGUCGACGGCUCGUCCAAGUGCUGCAGGCGCAACACCUCCAAGGUAUCCACACGUGCAGGGAGGAAGCGUCGCAAGCCGGAGUGCUAGGUCCGCGAGUUGCAACAGGCGAGAGAGUGGGAGGCGUGGCAGAUGUGUUUUGCCACAAAGGUGUAAACCCUAGGGUGCCCCCACCCAUCUAUUUAUAGAGGUUCCUAAUGGGCCUCUGGGUCCAAGGCCGACCCAGAGGCCCAUUAGUACUUCUAAACCUAAUCCAACUCGGAUCACAUCCAAAUUGGGCUUCCAGCCCCUUAAGUGUGUGACCUUAUGGGUUCGGAUACGUAUAGACAUGGCCCGAGUACUCCUACUCGGCCCAAUAGUCGGUAGCAGCCUCUAGCAAGACGUGCCAACUUAUAUACGCACGCGAAGAUCAUAUCAGACGAACCGUCACAACAUUAUGUACAUGCUAUUCCCUUUGCCUCACGAUAUUUGGUCUAGCUUCAAGCCGACCCCUCUUUCUCGAUCCUAUGAUUCAGAAUCCCUUUGUAGGUUAACUCUUAACCGUACGCAGCAUGGCCAUGCAUUUUCGGAUCCGAUCACUCGAGGGGCCUAGAGAUAUCACUCUCAAUCAGAGAGGGGCAAAUUCCAUCUUGAUUGACCAUGUCUCAUAGCAUGCUUCCUGACAAACCUGAGAGCUACCUUUAUAACUACUCUGUUACGGUGUAGCGUUUGAUAGCCCCUAAGUGAGUCGAUGCACAUCUCGACUACAUGCGACAAUCUCAGGUCUAAGGACAAAGCGUACAUGUUGUGUAAAGAGAGAACUACUUCUCGUGUUGGGUCAGUCCUAGCACAUGUCUCCACAUGUGCCCACAUUAUUAGUUCAACAUCUCCAUGUCCAUGACUCGUGAAACAUAGUCAUCAACUAAUAUAUGUGCUAGUCUAAUAUUCAUGUGUGUCCUCACAUGAACUCCGACUAGGGACAACUUUAGAAUAACCAUACAAGUAAAGAGUUUCACAUACAAUUCACAAAAUUGCAAGUCAAUUCAAGUAGCCUUUAAUGGAUACUCAAGGAACACAAUAUAAAUCAUGGAUACAAAUGGAAUAUCAUCAUAUCUACGAUUGUCUCUUGGGCAUACCUCCAACAGUCUCCCACUUGCACUAGAGUCAAUCUAGAAGGUACCUAAUACCCAUAGCUCUUACACGCGCAUCAUUCUUAGCCUGCGGGAGUGGUUUUGUCAACGGAUCAGAAAUGUUCAGAUCCAUGUGUAUUUUGCAUAUCUUGAUCUCACCCCGGAUAACGAAGUCUCGAAUGAGAUGAAAUCGCCGCAUUACGUGUUUGUUCUUCUGGUGGUUCCUUAGCUCCUUUGCUGGCGCAAUUGCCCCAUUGUUAUCACAGUAGAGAUUCAAUGGGCUGGACGCAUUUGGGAACACACAAAGCUCAAUGAGGAAAUUCCUUAUCCAAACACCCUCCUUCGCGGGUUCCGAAGCCACGAUGUACUCAGCUUCUGUCGUAGAAUCGGCUACCGUCUACUGCUUGGAACUCUUCCAACUAACAGCACCACCAUUUAGUGUGAACACAAAUCCUGAUUGUGACUUUGAAUCAUCUCUGUUGGUUUGGAAACUAGCAUCGGUGUAACCUGUUACAAUGAGCUCCUCCUCACCUCCAUAGACGAGGAACAUAUCUUUAGUCCUUCUCAAGUACUUAAGAAUGUUUUUCACUAUUGUCCAGUGACUCUCACCUGGAUCAGACUGGUGUCUGCGUGUCAUACUUAGUGGAUAUGAAACAUUUGGGCGAGUACUUAUCAUUGCAUACAUGAUAGAUCCAAUAGCCGAGGCAUAUGGCACUCACUCAUGCGCUCCCGCUCAUCAGCAGUCGAAGGACACUGAGUCUUGCUGAGAUGUAUACCAUGUGACAUAGGCAAGAACCCUUUCUUCGCCUCUUCCAUGCUGAAUCGCUUCAACACUUUGUCAAUGUAAGUAUCUUGGCUUAAUCCUAUAAGCCUUCUCGAUCUAUCUCUAUAGAUCUUAAUGCCCAGAAUAUAUGCCGCUUCCCCUAAGUCCUUCGUCGAAAAACUAUUUUUCAGUGAAGUCUUUACGGGCUCAAGUAUAGGAAUGUUAUUUUCAAUCAGCAAUAUGUCAUCCACAUAUAAGAUUAGAAAUACUACAGAGCUCCCAAUAACCUUCUUGUAAACACAAUACUCUUCUUUGUUCUUUGGAUAUCCCACGAAAAUGCACUUAUCCGACUUGGGUGUGAUCUUGUCCGACUGAAGUCACUUGACAAACACUUCACAUCCCCAAAUCUUUAGAAAAGACAAACUGGGAACUUUCUAGUCCACAUCUCAUAUGGUGUCUUAACUACGGAUUUAGAUGGUACCCUAUAAGUGUGAAAGUUGUUGUUUCUAGAGCGUAUCCCCAAAACAAUAAUGGUAGGUCCGACUGGCUCAUCAUUGAUCGAACCAUGUCUAACAAAGUCCGAUUACGUUGCUCGGAUACACCGUUUCUCUGAGGUGUUCCAGGCGGCGUAAGCUGUGGAACAAUUCCGCAACUCUUUAGAUGAUUGCUAAACUCAUGGCUCAAAUACUUGCCUCCACGAUCAGAUCGUAAGGUCUUAAUUUUCUUGCCAUGCUGAUUUUCAACUUCAUUCUAAAAUUCCUUGAACUUUUCAAAGGUUUCAGACUUGUGCCUCAUCAAAUAGACAUAUCCAUAUCUACUAAAAUCAUCAGUGAAAGUUAUGAAGUAUUGGAAUCCUCCUCUAGCCGUUGUGCUCAUUGGUCCGCAUACAUCGCUAUGUAUGAGUUCCAACAAGUCUACUGCUCUCUCAGGAAAACCUGUGAAAGGCGUCUUCAUCAUCUUGCCUGGCAAGCAAGCCUCACAUGUCUCGUAUGAUUCAAAAUCAAACGAAGUUAGAAGUCUAUCAGAAUGGAGCCUCUUCAUGCACUUUUCACUUAUAUGACCCCAACGACAAUGGCACAAGUAGGUAGGACUCAAAUCAUUAGGUUGAGGCCUUUUAGCACUUACGUUACAGACAGGUGAACCAUCAAGAUUUAAAACAAACAAUCCAUUCACAAUGGGUGCAAAAGCCAUAAACAUAUCAUUCUUAGAGAUCACACAAUCAUUAUUUUCACUCGCAAAUGAAUAACCAUCCUUCAUCAAGCAUGAAGGAGACAAAAUGUUUCGACUUAAACUAGGAACGAAAUAACAAUAAUUCAACUCCAUAAUAAAUCCUGACUGGAGGUGGAGUUGCAUCGUCCCGACGGUCAAUGCAACAACUCUUGCAUUAUUGCCCACGCGGAAAUCAACUUCUCCUCUUUCCACGCUUCUACUUCUUAUCAUUCCCUACAUCGAAUUGCAAAUAUGAGCAACCGAUCCGGUAUCAAAUACCCAAGAAUUAAUAAUUGUAUUAGCAAGAAAUAUGUUGUCUAUAACAUUAAUAACAAGCGUACUUGAGGUUGAAGUACUCUUACUUCCGCCAUUCUUCAACAAAGCUAGGUACUGCUUGCAAUUUCUCUUCUAGUGACCAAGUUCAUGAUAGUAAAAGCACUCUUUGUCUGGAGCAGGUCCAGGUCUAGCUUUAACCUUGGGCGCUGGAUUUGGCUUGGAUGUUCCAGCCUUGCCCUUCUUCUUCCAAGAAUUGCCCUUCUUCUUAAAGCUAGGCUUGUUCUAUAUAGCCAUCACAUGGCUAGAACUAGCGUUUUUCUUAAUGUCAGCCUCUGCUAUUUUGAGCAUGCCACAUAGCUCAUUCAGACCCUUCUUCGUUCCAUGCAUAUGGUAGUUCGAGAUGAAGUUCCCAAAGCUAGGGGAAAGAGACGAAAGAAUGAAAUCAGUGGCCAACUCUUGGCCCAGUGGGAAGCCCAGCUUCUCCAACCAUUGAGUGUAACCAACCAUCAGUAAGCAAGCAUAAGGCAACUUACUUCGAGGUUAGCAUCACAUGCCUUUUUGUAAGCAUUUUUAGCAGCAGCAGGUGCAUCAUCAGCAGGUUCUUCUAGUAGUGGGUUGUCUAGAACAUCUUCCUUUUUCUCAGACCUUAGAACAAUUCUCAGGUUAUGGAUCCAAUCCGAGUAGUUUGUUCCAUUCAACUUGUCCUUCUCAAGGACCGAACGCAAAGCAAACAGUGUAGUGCUGCUAGGUGCCAUUUAAUAUACAACAAAAGUAAUGCAAAAUACACUAAGACAAACGUAUCCAUGAUAGAGCAAAUGACAUUAAACUAUUUAACAGAAUCUACUCCCACUAAAAUCAAUGUCCCUCUAUUGAUACUUAGUGAUUUAGGAUCCACAACUAAUAAGUCUACUAGUGAGCUUUAGCAUCACCGCUAGCAAACAAGGUAGAUCGGUAAGCAACUCUUUGCUAAUCAUAUCACAUAUGACUCCUAUUGUUGGGUGACAUGUCCAUGUCUCGGCGCCCAACCUUUAUGCCCCAAGGUCCUUAACUGUUAAGAUAACCUUGUUAAGCAAACCAACCCUUAUGCGUGUAAGUGUCCAACACAAACCCGUCUAGUCAAGGAAAACUAGUGGCACCCUAAUUUCAUAUACCUACCACUAAUUGUACAAGAUAUGGGACGGUGCAAGUUUAAGUUGGGAGGGCAUACUAACUUAAACUUUGUGAUGGAUCGUUCUACUUCUAACAUCAUAGCAUGCAGAAAGUAAAACAUAAACAGAAUAGCAUUCACACAGUGGUGACACAGUAUGGCCCAUUUUCUUAUGGUGAUCUCCAUCUCCACAGAACCUGUUCAGCAUGGUGAUCUCCAUCUCCAUGUUCCAUGUGCGCCAUCCUCCUGGUGAUGAGUCCUCCAAGAACUAGAACAUGCUAUUACGCCUAAUAGCUAGUAAAGAAGCUAGUAAUGAAGAUUACAUAGUUUGCUUGGAUCAUCACAGAUUGGUACGCAGACCAUUAAAUACAUUAAAGUGACAACACAUAUGGCUCCAGCCGUGUUGCCGUACGCGCAACACGCAGGUCACGAAUGAGUUACACACAUGCAUCACAUACACAAGGGGGCCAUAAUGAUCACAAGAUCCAUACAUCCUGCAAAACAGAGUUAGGCAUUCUAACGUUCCAAACUUCAGAGGCCCGAAACUCCAUCUUCCAAGCUGAAUUUGGGAAAUCUAAUUUUGUCAAAACUGGCAAAGUGGUUGAAUUUCAUGUGUAACUUUUUCUGUAGAUCAAUUUUCAUAUAAAAUUCGCCCCGAUCCGAGAUUGUACCGAAAAGUUACGGUUGAUUUAUCGAAGCACACGCAUACAGCAAAAUCCCGACCUGGUAGUAGAUCCAAUCUACUAUUGCACGUGUGAUGUGCUUGGCGUAUGAACCUGGAUCUUGAUCCGACCAGUCACAUUGAUCUUCGCUUGCUGUAACUUGCAUUACGUGUAUCACUUAACUCCGAUGGAGGAAACCCGACCGGCAGGAGUAUGUCAUUACACAACCAUUGCAGCAAGAACACGAAAUCAGGACAUAGAUCAAACUGAAAACUCGCAUAUCUCCAUAUGCACACAUCCCAAAUUCAAAACUAAACAACUACGGCUCUGAUACCACUGUUGGGAUACAAGGUAGGCUACGCUAGCGCAAAUCAAAAUUUUUCUACCACGUAAACCAGGAAAAUUGUCGUAUAAGGAUCACGGGAUUACCGCUUGACGCAUUGGUGCGGAAGAUGUAGAAUCGCGUCGGGGUAGCGAAGUCAAUCAGCGUAGUUGAACAUAGUUGAUCACGUCGAUGUCGAGCAGCUCCUUAGCAGCUCGUCCACGUACAGCAAGAUCGUCUUCGUGCCGCGGCUCAUCGGCGGCUCGUCGACGGCUCGUCCAAGUGCUGCAGGCGCAACACCUCCAAGGUAUCCACACGAGCAGGGAGGAAGCGUCGCAAGCCAGACUACUAGGUCCACGAGUUGCAAUAGGUGAGAGCGUGGGAGUCACGGCAGAUGUGUUUCGCCAAAAAGGUGUAAACCCUAGGGCACCCCCACCCCUCUAUUUAUAGAGGUUCCUAACGGGCCUCUAGGUCGGAGGCCCAUUAGUACUUCUAAACCUAAUCCAACUUGGAUCACAUCCGAAUUGGGCUUCCAGCCCCUUAAGUGUGUGACCCUAUGGGUUCGGAUACGUAUAGACAUGGCCCGAGUACUCCUACUCGGCCCAAUAGUCAGUAGCGGCCUCUAGCAAGACGUGCCAACUCCUAUACGCACGCGAAGAUCAUAUCAGACAAACCGUCACAACAUUAUGUACAUGCUAUACCCUUUGCCUCACGAUAUUUGAUCGAGCUUCAAGCCGACCGCUCUUUCUCCAUCCUGUGAUUCGGAAUCCCUUUGAAGGUUAACUCUUAACCGUACGCAGCAUGGCCAUGCAUUUUCAAAUCCGAUCACUCGAGGGGCCCAGAGAUAUCACUCUCAAUCAGAGAGGGGAAAUCCCAUCUUGAUUGACCAUUUCUCACAGCAUGCUUCCACAUGUGCCCACAUUAUUAGUUUAACAUCUCCAUGUCCAUGACUUGUGAAAUAUAGUCAUCAACUAAUACAUGUGCUAGUCUAAUAUUCAUGUGUGUCCUCAGAUGAACUCCGACUAGGGACAACUUUAGAAUAACCAUACAAGUAAAGAGUUUCACAUACAAUUCACAUAAUUGCAAGUCAAUUCAAGUAGCCUUUAAUGGAUAUUCAAGAAACACAAUAUAAAUCAUGGAUACAAAUGGAAUAUCAUCAUUUCUAUGAUUGCCUCUAGGGCAUACCUCCAACAGGCACAGAGUCCAUACUACCCCUCAUGUGGCCCUCUUAGAACACGCCGUCAGUGCCAACCCCGGCCCUCUCCAAGCACUCGUUGAGGAGAGUGCAAAAGCCUCCAUAGCGCAUUCUGUCUCUAGAAAAUGAAUGCCACUCCUUAGUCAUCAUCUGAAACACAUAGUUAAGGGUUGUUAGAAAGUCAUAUAAGUCAGAGUAAACAAGGUAAUAAUAGUAACAAUUCAAGGAGUUGUAUAGUAAUCAAGGGGUAUAUACUCAAUCAAGGGUAGUUUGGGCUUCCUGAACUAACAUGCUAGGGAUCAUCCUACGGUAAAGUAUGGCUGUGAUACCAGCUGAAAUGGACCCAAAUUCCCAUUUCUGAGAAUUCAAGCCAACGCACAUUGGUGAUAGUCCCAGGAAGGCUAUCACAUGCAAAUCCUUGUCUCAGAUAGUACAAAUCCAUACCAACAUAGAAACAGAGAGAGAAACAAAGUACAAAGAUCAUAGUUAACAUGAGUACGAGUACAUCUCAGCAGCACAUGCCAGUACAAGUCCAUCAGGACUGAAUCAGGAAAGGUAAAAUAUCUACGUAGUGGAAACAAAAGCUAUGGUGAUGUCCAUCUUCACAGGUGACUCGAGCGAAGAACGGUCCCUAGUCCUCCCAACCGUCAUUGUCAAAGUCAUAGUUAGGCUCUGACCCUAAAAAGCCAGCAUCUACCCAAGAAGCGGGUAGGCCAUGACAACUCCUAAAAGCAACAAAGCCAAGGAAAUGGAGGAAUUAUACUAUAUGCAUGAAUAAGACCUAUAUAUGGUUGUAGAGGUUUAUGCAGCAGCAACAACAACAAUCAAGGUAGCAGCAAAGCAACAUCAUCUUCGAGGUCAACACUCAAACAAGAAAGUUGGCACAAAUCACCAAAUCUUUCACCCAAGGGUCUGGCACCCAAACACACUAGGUGAUGUGAGAGCUCCCUUCCCUCACAUCUCAACAACAAACACUGGCCUAUCUCAAAAAGGGGAAAGGUAGAAGCACGAGAAAAGUCUAGUUAGAAGUAGCAAUAGACAACAGCACUGUCCAUAACCAAUGGACAUGGACUAUAGCUAUAGCUUUAUACACUCUACAGAGGUUGUACAACUGUACCCGCAUAGAUAAAGCCUGAGCGGUAGCGAUCUGUCUAAACCCCACCUAUCAGCCGGAGCCCUAGUAAGUGGAUAGCUCUCUCUUGUUUCCUCGAGUCUGGAACCAUCCUCAGCUGCAGGGCACGUUGUCACCAGUGAGGACCUCAAAGCUGUGAAACCUACCCAUGCCGAGGUGCAGUUUGGUCCAAGCAGGACAAUGCCUCAAACUCCUAAAAUGAUCCUCCAAUCCGCCUACAGGCAGAGCACUAUCUAUUACUAGUCUCAAACCGAACCCUGCCCAUAACGUAAGCGAGUAGUAAGUACGAAAAGUAGCUACUGUGAUUGGUGGUAAACUGACUCGGUCCUUAAGCUGCUGAGAGCAAGCACUCUACCAACAAGUAUGUGCCAAAGCACCUGCAACGAACAAGUAUGCCACCUGCUCCUCAGUAAUAAACAAGGUACCCGCCACAGGUACGGGGUAUAGAGAGAGUCCAGAAAGCUCUCUCCCGGCUAGGCACUUCUCUAUACCAACCAUGGCUCGCUCCCGCCAAGAACACAUCAAGGAGUCACACUCACCCAAAACACACGUGAGAGUGUUCAAGGAAUCUGUUGACGCCGGAUUUUGACAUGUGUUAACGUCGGCAUCAAAGGAGAGGAAGGUGGUCGAUGCGGUAAGCAAGAAGCUACAGUUGGAGAAUCGGCCGAUAGAGCUACAGUGUUCCGGCCGAUUGGCCGAGGGAGUCAAUGAAGACUGGCCGAU
rnacentral:lncRNA from 1 species